rnacentral:sRNA from 2 species
UAUCUCUCCGUACGGGGAAGGAUGAGAAGCUUCGACUAAGGUUCGAUUCGAGCGAAAGCGAGAAA